rnacentral:lncRNA from 1 species
GUGUUGAGGCACAUUGUAGCAAGUGUCGAAGACACAAAGUAUGUUGAACCCUUUCGAAACACAAUUGGCUUAUGUAUGGAUGUGUUGGCAUGUAUGAUGUUUAUGUAUGAAUGUGUUAGAAUGUAUGAUGUUUAUGUAUGAAUGUGUUGGAAUGUAUAAUAUUUAUGUUGAUUGAUAUAAGUGAUGUUUAUGAAUGUUUUGCUAUGCAUGAAGGGAUCCAUAUUUUUGAUAUAUGAAUCAUGUUGGUUGUAACACUUAGUAUCACAUACUUUGUGUCAAAGUACGCAUGUUGAAGCUCUGAGUUGGAGUAUAAGGGUAGGUCAGCGUAGACCAAGUGUUCCAGUGCUAAGAACACAAAAGACUCAGAAGAAGUUGU